CGCCCCUCCUCGUUGGCUCGGGCGGCCGCCGCCGCCUCUCGGCACCCGGCGUGGAACGGCGGUGUUGGCUGCGCUGGGUGGACGCUCUGGCAGCCGGUGAGGGAACCGCUCGAUGGAAUUUCUGAAGCGAAACGAACUACCUGAGUGCCUCGAAUUGGAAACGAUGGGUUUCACUGAGCUGCGAGUCGUGCGCGCGCAGUGAUGGGCGGCUGCGGCGACCCUUCCCUCAAGCAGUGGGUGGUGAACGAUAAACGAUAGUUGAGCCGCACGAAGAGAGACGGCGUCGCAUCUGCGCGGUGUUUCAUUUUGAUCUGGGUUUGUUCAAACGCUUUUUUUUUCUCUCUUUUUCCUUCUCAAGCCUCGGGAAUGAGAGAGGAAAUGCUCUAAGAAUAACGGAAUACAUUGGUACGGCCACACUGAAAACGUUACCCACUUAAGGCAGGUGCGAAACCGCUCUGCUCGUAGCCCGGGGGAAACAGCGUGGGUCACGAGGGCGUACGGACAGUGCCUGUCUUUCCACAUCGAGUUCUCUGUAGCGCCGGCUCCGAAGCACACGCGCCUUUGUGUCUUCUUAACCGAGUGUGCACGUGGUCGCGCUGCAUCCGCCAGUUUCCAGCGGCGUCUCCACGCAGCUCUGCCCUAACAAUGGCACAGCUCCUGCCAAGCGUGAUGUAUGCCGGCUGGCUGCUGGGCCGCUUCUUUCCUCGGGUAGAGGCGAGGAGAACAGCAGCUGAGCUGGAGCUGAGCCCCUCUCUCGCGUGGCCGUGGGAAUGGGAGCUUAUAGAGAGCCCCCCGAGCAAACGCUGAGCGCCGUGGGGCUGCUCCGUGCCCUCGCCAAGUACAGGCAGUGUGCAGGGAGGGUUUCGGGCACCAAAGCAUCCAAACCCUUACUGGUGGAGCUGGGAGCUGUACUCCUUUCCUGGCUUUCCCGCUCUCUUUGGGUGGUGAAUGACAACCUGUAAGUGCUCUUAUCUGAAGCGUCCGUAGGUCUUGUAGGCAGUAUCCAGAAGGGCAGAGGAAGUUGUUUUCUUCAUAGUAAGUUAAUUCUGUUGAUUCUGCGUGUAGCUUCCCUCUCUACUGCAGUUAAAACUCAUUCGUUCUACCUAAAAACCUUUUGUUCCUUUAAGAAAAAGUGUCAGGGUGCCUGGCACAUCCCAUGGCAACUCAUCCCCGCUUCCCCACCGUGGCACGGGUGGGGAGCACACAUGGGGGAGGGUGGUGUGGGCAGCGCCAUCCAGGCCUCACGCUGUGCAUGUCAGAUGUCAGCAGGAGCCUCAGCCUGAGGCUCCCCACUCAGACGCCUUUUAGUGGCUGAGAGGGAGCCGUGAGCAGCUGCUGCCAUGCAUGUUUAAAGUAAUCGAUACUGCUUUGGGGUAGAGAGCUUCCCUCCUUCCUCUGAGCACAUCAGUGUGAUUUACGAUCAACAAAACCAUGCUCCCCGUGUCUCCUUUUCUAGAUGGCUGACACGUGAUGUCAGGCUCUCUGCUGCUGUGAGGUAUGGGAGAAAGACCAUAGGUCAUUCAUUCCGUGAGGGCUUACCUAUCAGCAGGAGGUGCUGGCAGAACUGAUCGUUGAGCCACAGAAUAUCCUGAGCUGGAAGGCACCUGUAAGGGUCAUCAGCUGUAAGUCCUAUGAAAUGUGUAGGAAUGAUUUCCAAUCCUUACAUUAGUUUUACACUGUGGUCAAGCCAACUGUUGAGUAAGGGUCACCAGAUGUUCAGUUUUCAGCACUUCGACUGAGGAUGUAAUGGUUUCCUAAUCUUUCUCGUUGUUGCAUUUCUGAUUGCUGGUCAAUGCUGAGCUCUGAAUGAAACAACAACAACAAAAGGAACAUCCCUACUUAAAAAAAUAAAACAAAGGAAAGAGUCGAGUAACAUUUAAUUGUCAUGAAAUCGUUUAUAAAGAGUGAGAUGUCAGCCUUAACGAAGCAGCUCUGUGCUUGGUAUUUUAUCAGCCUUCUUCAGCACCGCUGCGAGGACAGAGCUGAACAAUGAGCUGUUCUGUCCUCUGGUGCCAGUGCAGCAGCUGAUGUUUGCAGUAGCUGCUUGUGAUAUGGUGCUGCACGGGAACCCCUCUGUGCACACAUGCUCAAGGCAUCGUGCUGGCGUUCACACAGCUGCAACCAAAGCAGCCCCAGUGUUGCUAAUGUAGAAAGCCGUGGCUGCUCCCUGUGUGGUUUAUGGGGUCUCAAAUCAGCACAGAAGAGAGCAAACUGUGGUAAUUCUGAGUAUUUCAACUUUUUCUUUUCUUUUCUUUUCUUUUCUUUUCUUUUCUUUUCUUUUCUUUUCUUUUCUUUUCUUUUCUUUUCUUUUCUUUUCUUUUCUUUUCUUUUCUUUUCUUUUCUUUUCUUUUCUUUUCUUUAACACUGCCUUGAUUGAACAGGUCACAUCUGUCAGUGAGGUACCAACAGCUCUCCAGAAACAUGGCAAAAUAAACUCCGGUCCGCUGGCUGACACCUGGCUUUGGCACAGCUCUCACUGCACGCGGGCUGAUCUACUUAAUGCGACUGCUCCCUUAACCAUGGCAUUCAGCAUGCGCUUGGUAGUGUGAGCUGGAGAUCUUUGUUCACCAGGUUUGCUCUGACUCGUACAACUGGGGAGACUUUCUGACAGUGGCUGAGUCAAUGCAAAUGAGGUGUUUUGUUAUAAAUCUCCUGAUCAUACCCAGCAGGACCGAAUGCUUUGCUCAUACUGCACUGACCACCUGCAGAGUUUGUAUUCCUGUGCAUUCCCAAUUUUAUCUUUUUCCUUAAACCAUUGCUAGUUAGAAGCACAUGGAUACAGAGGAGGUGGUGUUAGUGGUCAUACAACUGCCUAUUUCCAUUGCCUUUUAGGUGGGGUCAUAUAAAAAGGUGGAUUUCACCCCUCCAGAUGCUGUUCCUAGAGUACCUGCUCUAAUAGUUUCCAGGGUAAACAGUAAGUUGUAUGAGUAAUGCUCUCAGCGUUGCCUGGGCAUUGCUUGACAGCCACAGGGUUCAGCUGUGCUCAAGGUAAAGCUGAGUGGUUCACUAGCGCUCCAUUCUUUUUCACUACAAUAUAGAACAUACUUUAUUUAUGAGAUCAUAUCUUAAGGUCUUGGGUGUUUAUGUAUCAUUCAUAGCCUUGAAAUUUAUCUUCAGUUAAUAUAACAACAAAGAUAAUAAAAUAACCUUUGUUUUGAUUCUCUGAAUGAUUCACAUCCCCCCUUCCUGGCUGUUUUGUUCAAAAAUAAAGAGGUGGGAAGAGAGAAUAUUCCAAGUACAAAGGCAGAGGAUGAAAGCAUCAUUCUGUUUCUGUUCCUCCUACAUAAUAUUGCCAUAGUAACAGGGAGAUGAAUGUGGCUGUUCAUCACUGGAAGCGGAGGUACAGCAGACACUAUUCUUAUUCAAGGGAAUAUUAGUAAAAUACAGAUUUUUAGCAUGUCAAUAAUGAAUUAGGAAAAAACGUUCCGCUCUCCAUAGCAGACUCUGAACACUAAUAAUAAAGUGCCACUUUGAAAGAAGAGAGGGCAAUUAAGGCAUUUAGCAAACAUUUAUAGUGCUGUAAAUCAGAGCAUUUUAUCUUCCACACAAAGCUGUGCUGAGUUGCGGAGUGCAGUCACAGAUAAUAUAUUCUGACAUCAAACCUCCAUGAGACCGGCAGCUUGCUCUCCUCUGUCUGAUGUAUUUCUGUCACGGCAGUUGGUUGUGGUUGUUGCCAAACGUUUGUGCUGCAGCACUGACUGGUUGUGCUAGACUGGAGCACGAGCGGCUUAUUAUUUCCUGGAGGCCUGAAGUGCUUCAGCUGAGGACUGAAGGGUGGAGCAGAGCUUCAUUAGCAGCCCCAGCUGCCACCUGGGAUGGGGAGUGUGAAAUAGCAGCAGGAACCGCAGUGCUCUGCCAGCUUCCCUCGGCUCUGCUUUGGAUUAAAGCAACCAGAACUGCAGGUCAUUUGAAUCAUAGAUACAAAAAAUCUAACUGUUGAUAUAAGGAGAUCAGAACUGCGUGUAUUUCAUGUUGUGCUUUGAAGAAGUAACGUCCUUGCAAAAACCAAAGAGCUCAGAGGAUUUCCUCUGUCAUUUUCCUACUACCAGCCGUCAUGCGUUGCAUUCUCUUCCAAAAGAGAAGGUGAAAAGGAGCGAGACAAAGAAGAAAGGGAUCACAGUAUCUCAAUUUUAUUUUCUUUCCUGAAAAGUAUUCUCUUUGGACAGACAGUAAUUGUAGUUUCUAAUGACACAAACUUGAAGGGAAACAGAAGAAGACUACAAACAGGUUUAUGGGCCUAUCAGCGGGAAUAUGUGGCUACAAAUUGCUGAGUAAAUGAAACAGCCUGUUGUUUCCUAAGACUGAGAUUGUGAGUGUUAUGCCAAAGUAUUUGAGGAGGAGCUAGAGCACCAGGCGGUGUAAAGAAUACCUGCUGAGCCCUAAUUGGUGCCCACUGUUGUUAAUGGCUUCCUGUGGCUGAGUGUUUACUUGUCAUUUGUUUUGUGCUUUGUUUCCCAGCUACUGGAAGGAAUAAAAAUACUGACCAAAACUUUAUUUUGCUUUUAAG
ensembl:lncRNA